CGUUCGGCGGAAGCGUCGU
rnacentral:snRNA from 1 species